rnacentral:ncRNA from 1 species
ACAGAAGGCUCAAUUUGGGCUCACUGAAAACUAUUUUAGUGAUAGUCCGGCUGUAUCGGUGAAAUCCUGAGCUAGCCGAAGGACAACACCGAGGCAAUCCCCCUUCCGCAUAAAAUAUGGGGGCGAGUCCGUAGAGACUAUACGCCGGACCCCGCCUACAGUUGAUAACUCAAUUGUUGGCGGGGAAGAUAUAGUCCGACACUCUCAGUAAUGGGAGA